rnacentral:misc_RNA from 1 species
GUUUAAUUGAAGGGAUUCUUGAUUUGGGUCAUCAUGGGUUGUUGUCAAUCUUCAAUCUUGAAGGAGUUGAGCUCAGAGAAAGAUCAGCGUCAUGGGGUGGUAAACGCACGAGCUUCUAACGGCACCGGCGCCGGAGCUGCUGUCGGAGAUGGUGGGGUUCCGGUGUUUUCUGAGUUUUCGCUUUCUGAGCUCAAAGCAGCUACUAAUAACUUCAGUUCAGAAUUUAUUGUUUCUGAAAGUGGAGAAAAGGCUCCGAAUAUGGUUUACAAGGGGAGGUUGCAGAAUCGGCGGUGGAUCGCUGUUAAGAAGUUUACUAAAUCGGCAUGGCCUGAUCCUAAACAGUUUGCGGAUGAAGCAUCAGGUGUUGGAAAUUUGAGGCAUAAAAGGCUGGCUAAUUUAAUUGGGUACUGCUCUGAUGGGGAUGAGAGGUUGCUUGUAGCUGAGUACAUGCCAAAUGAUA